GUUGAAAAAGUUGCUCUCUACGGUCUUAUUGUGGGAAUCUUCUCUCACCUCAAGCUAGCAGAGUAGAAAUUCUUACCGCCUCUCUCGGCCAUGGGAUAUGAAAUAAAAUCUCUUAUUUCUUUCCAUUUUAGUUACAGGAUAGUGCAUAUUUCUCUACUUGAGGAACCUAUAGCUUCAAUGACAAUCCUGCAUGUGUUAAAUGAUGAUGGGUUAUAAUUUGGUUGCUUCAAUCUCUCGUCUUUUGUUUUGUAUCAAUGUCGUUUUAGAAGUCUUUUCUUCAUGGGUCCUCUUCCAAAUUUACAUAGCUUGCUGUUUUGCAGUUG
rnacentral:misc_RNA from 1 species